CGCCGGGCCACGAUCUCCCACCGGAUCGCGACCCAUCUGCAAGGAUGGGAGCU
rnacentral:ncRNA from 2 species